GUAAAACAAAUUCAUUGUUAUUGAGGGAAAUGGAAAGUUAUUUGAGUGAAAAUUUUGAUGUGAAGGCGAAGCACUCGUCGGAGGAGACUUUGCAGAAAUGGAGGAAGGUGUGUGGAGUUGUGGAAUCCGAAGCGAAGGUUUCGCUUCACUGCCAAUCUCUCCAAGAGAACCGAGGCUGCUGCCAUGCGACAGACCAAUCAGGAGAAGUUAAGGAUUGCAGUUCUGGUUUCCAAAGCUGCAUUUCAAUUUAUCCAAGGUGUGUCCCCAAGUGACUAUACUGUACCUGCAGAAGUCAAGGCUGCGGGUUUUGAGAUUUGUGCUGAUGAGUUAGGAUCCAUUGUUGAAGGCCAUGAUGUGAAGAAACUAAAAGUUUCAUGGUGGGGUGAAUGGGAUUGCAGAAAAGCUCUCCACUUCAACUACUAGUGGGCUUUCUACAGAUAAUGAUCUGCUGAAUCGUAGGCAAGAGAUUUAUGGAAUCAAUAAAUUUGC
rnacentral:misc_RNA from 1 species